rnacentral:lncRNA from 1 species
AUAAUGUCAUUUAUUCGAAAAUUUGAUCGAAAAAUUUGUCACCCAAUUUAAUGGGGUUUUUUGUAUGUUAAGGGGAGAUGGGUGAUAAGAAGAGAAGAUGACGAAAAAAAAAAGGAACAUGAGGAUGUGUAGGAGGAGAAGAUGAUGUGAUGAUGAUGACGAAGGUUGUUAGAGUUAGAGAAAGAAAAAAGGGAAGAGGAAGACAAAAAAUCGAAAAAAUAGGAGCAUGAUGAUGAUGAAGAUGAUGAUCUGGAGGUUACGAUGGUGGCGUGACGGACCGACGUGGUUGAGAGGAUGAAGAAAUAAAGGAAAAAGAAGAGAAAGAGAAAAAGGAAGACAAAGAUCUAAUCAUAUAUUUUAUCGAUGGACAAAUAACCACUUUACUAACAAUUUUUUUCUUUAGUAGUUUGUGGAUAAACACGAUUUACUGACAAAUUUUCUCUAUUACCAUAGAUAUUAUCUGUCAGUAAUAUGCAAUUUUCUUGUAGUGCAUAAUGUUGAAAUUGGUAUACAAUAGUAUGACUUUUUAUAAUAUUUUCACAUAACAAAAUAAAAUUGAGGUUCUAUCUCACAUCACUCAC